ensembl:lncRNA
AACUUGAGAUGGAGAGAGAAUCCUGGUUUAUCCAGGUGAGACCAAUGUAAUCACAAGAGUUCUUAUAAGAGAGAGGCGGAGUCAGAGUCUGAGGAGAGGUGUGGUGACAGAAGCAGAGAUAUGAGUCAGAGAGAGAUUUGAACAUGUCGUGCUCCUGGCUUUGAAGAUGAAGGGUCCACAAGCUAAGAAAUGUGGGCAACUGCUAGAAGCUGGAAAAGAUUUGUACAAUAGAAUAUAAAACUGCAAAGCUCAACACCAAACAUUCAGUUGACCAGCCUUGAGUGCCACUGAACCGAAGCUGCCUCUCCUCCAUCCUACUACCAAGUUAAGGAAAAUAAGGAAGGAAAUUGGGAAAUAUUGUGAACAACCACUGCUAUUAUGACUACCAUCAUUUCCACUCUUGCUAAGUGAGAAGUCCUUUUUGUAAAUUACAUCAUUUAACUCUCACAACAACUCGAUGAGAUAGGUAUUUUUAUCCCCAAUGACCCCAACAAGGAAACAAAGAAAGAGGAAAGUUAAGUGAUUUAUUCAAGUUCCCACAGCUGAUGUAUAACUAGACUCAGGUCCCAGCAGGCCCUAAAAGGAGAUCCAAACCAUCACUGUAGCCCACCCGUCAGAGCAGGGGCUUCUGGAAGGCUGGUGAUCAAUGGAGCUUUGGCUCAGGUGCAUUUCACAGUGGAUCUGCUCUGGAGACUCAGCUGUCAGAAUUGAUAACAGCUGUUGGACACCGGAGCUGUUUUAUUUUUGCCAGGAGAUAACAGAGUGAAUGACUUGUAGCAGCUUCGGAACCCUGAUGAGUUCAAGGCCCGGAAUGGAGAUUGCAAAGGGUAAUUCCCAGAUAAUUCAAGGGGACGGGGAAGCUAGACAAAUCCCUGUUUCACUCUUUGAAAUUGUGCUAUGAGAAAUGAACUGAGAAAUCUGAGAUGAAAAAUCGCCUCAUGUAGAGUCCUUCAGAGAAUUUCUAUCUUCUUUUGCCUUUAUUCUUUGGGGACUGAAUGCCAACCCAACUCAUUUUUGAAAAUGGGAUUUCUCUUCCAUUUGGAGCAAGAUUUAAUUUAAGAUAAAAUUUGAUGCUUCCUUCAAAGAGACCAAAUGUCUUAGAUAUAGGCCAGGGAAAGUAUUGCUGGCUACUCAUGUGUCAUGGAUCUCCUUCUUCCUUUUCGCCUUUUGGUAAAAUUGGUGGUGGUGCUGUAGGGGUUUCAGAUCAUUCAGAUGUUGUGUUUUCUUUCUUUCAAAAUGCUGAACACAUUCAGCACUUCUACAAGGGAGAGACAGAUAGUACAUACCUCAGUUUAGGCAGAAAACUUACUUUAAAGAAAUUUAAUUCAGCAGGAAGUUAGUGUUUACCAUGUGCCAAAACAUCUGGUCGGUGCUGAAAUUCAUAGAUGAAUAAGAUGCUGGUCCUUCCCUCACAAGGCUUACCUUCACCAAGGAGACAGAUGUGCAUCUGACUGACUCCAGCUUGCAAUGGUAAGGCUCCACAUAUUUUCUUGAAGUUUUAGGAGUUUCCCUAUGUUUUUUAUUAUUCCUCUAUCUCCUUAAGAAGGAGCCAUAGAUGAAUACCGUGGCCACAUAUCAGAGGAGUGACUUGGAAGUGGAUAUAUGGAGAUUUGUGGGAAGUUAUUAAGGGUUUCUCUGUGGGCCCAUAUUUGACACUGACCUGGAGUUAAAUUCUACUUCUACUCCCUGGGCCUGUCACCUUGUAUAUAAUUCCUAUCUGACUCCUCAGGGAGGUGAGAAGGGACUAAAGAGUAGAACACAGUCUUUGUGGCUGGUUCUGCCACAACAGUUGCUGGUACACUUAGCUAUGUGGUUGUCUGGAGCUGGCUUUACUCUCACCAGGCACUUCGGUGGCUUUCUCCGUGAUUUCACACCAAAAAAUUCCAGAUGUGAGUCCUGAGAUAUGAUGACAUUUCCUAGCGGACCACACAAUGAUUCUGCUCCCCAACCACUGCCUAGCCCAUUCUGAGGUGGCCCCAUUGACCUUUCUCCCAAUACCCAGGCGGCCUUCGAGGAAAAGUCCCUGUUGAAUUGCAUCCAGGCUGCAUCUUCCCCACAUGCCUCACAUCAAGUUCAUCCUUUUCACUGCUGUUUGUGGAAGUGAAUUUUGGUCCCAAUCCAGCCCCAUUUCUUUCUGCUAUGCCAUCUUCAGUCAAUAUCUACAGUCUUCAGAUUUCUCAAGUUUUAACUCAUUGGUAAGAAAAAUAGAUCUCAGAUGAAGUGUAAAAGGACUCAAGGCAUAUUAAACAUGAGCAACUUCACAAAAUCAAAUGAACAGCAACGACAACACAUGGAGUGUAUGAAAAACAAAACAGAAGUAAAGAGGGAAAAAAAAUCCCACAGUAUGGAAAAUACAAAUGAAGAAGAAAGUAAUAAGAAAUGAUUUUUUCAAAGUGGUUUUGGUACCACGGGACAUUUAUCAAUGUCUGGGGACAUUUUUGGUUGCCGUAGUUGGAGGAAGGUUGCUCCUGAUGUCGAGCAGCUAUAGGCCAGAUGCUGCUAGACAUCUUAUAGAGAACAAGACAGCCUCUCUCCCACAACAAAGAAUUACUCUGACCAAAAUGUCAAUAGUGCCAAUGGUGGGAAAAACUAAUCUAAAAGAAUUUGAUGAGGACAUGGGUGAAUAAAGUAGAAAUCAAAAAUGAAAUGAUGGAGAAUAAAGAAGAGACAAUAGAGAACUAAGGAAGCAUAUUGAGGAUCCAAAAAAUACCAUUAAUCCAACAGAAUAGACCUGGUUGAAACAUAGAUGUCACCUUUUAAUGCAAGCAAAAUCAGGGAGAUUAAAACAUUUAGGGAGACCAUAGGUGAUAUGGAAGACAAUGGCUAUAAUUAGUGUCUGUCAUUAGUGUCUCUGAAUUAAAGGUCUCAAUAAAUAGAACAAAACUGUAUUCAAAGACACAAAAUGAGAACGACUUUUUUUUUCCUGGCAUGAGAGAAGAAUUGAAUCUGAUAGUCAAGAGCAGCUCUGUGUUCCAACCAUACUAGCACAGGUAUUUUCCAUUUCUGUAAAUGAUGGGCCAUGUUAUUAAAAGCAAUCCUCCUGCUGAAAACUACCAUAAACAAUUGGUUAAAAGACAUUUUCAAAACUUGAAAAUAGAGUGUGGUACUGCUAGAAUAAACUGUGCGGGAGCAUUUAACCAAGGGCAUGAACAGUGGUAACUUAAAGGGAUAUGGUGUAAAAGGAAAGGUUUUUAUUUUGUUUGUUUUUUUAAAGUGGGGCAGGAUUAGACAUGAUCACACAAUAAUGUGCCCAUUUGUAUCACUACCACUAGCCUGGAAACACUGGUCUGAUCAUUUUUCUGAGGAUCCCGUUCUACAAAUUUCUGCAUGAUGCCUUGGAGGACUAGUCUAGUCCCUCAGAACACCAGAUCUGGGGCCUUCAAACCUUGCCUAGAUUUCUGACGAGUCAAAAGAAGAAAAUCAGAUGAUAUUAAAGGUUACAUUGUUUCUCAUUCCCAAUAGAUAACUUUAUUUUUCUCAUCAAGCACAUUCCUUGUGGCUACUGGGAUUUCGCAGCAAGCGGAAAUACUCAUAUCUUGUAGACAAAUCAAGUGAAGGUGUAAUAACAAUUAUUUCCUCUGAAAUAAACCAGAAUGGUGAUGUAUCAGCAUAAGGGUGAAAAGGUAUAUAUUCUUCACUUGUCAACCAGCUUACCACUCUGACUAGGAAAACCUUUCUCUUUUCACUAGGGCAUAGUGCCUUCUUAUUUGGAGAGACAACUUAUGCAAAAGACCUGGCAAAGUUCCUGGAACAUAGCAUGUGCCUGAUGAAUGAUCAUUACUUUCUCACCUUAAACAAGUACACUAUAUUUUAUUAUUUAGGGAGAGGGAAAGACCCAUUUUAUAUGCAAAUCUGGACAGGCUUAAAAUACUUUUCCCAAGUGUCCACUCAACUCCUAUCUCUUUAAUAAGAUUAAGUCUCUUUAAAGAAGAUAAAAAGAAAAAGCACGAGUAUAGUUAAUCAUUAGGGAAGAAUGAGAUUGGAAGUAAAGGGAAAAGAUGUCUUGAAGCAAACUCUUCCUGGAUUCCUUCUCUUCCUCCCACAAGAAUGCUAAGAUGUGGCUUUUCCCAUCAUCACACAAUUUAUAUUGUAUCAUUAAUAGUGUGGCGAUUCUUUAAUUGAAUUUAUUCAAUCUUUGUUCAUGCACUUUGGUAGGUGGAAGAAAUGCAAUAGGGACCAAACUAUAGUCAUUUAUUCAAGGUACUUAAGGAUAAUCAAAUAAACAGACAAUCGUAGUAUUCUUUGAUAAAGGUAAACUAAGCUUGAGCAGAGAGGAGCACACCAGAAGAGUUCCAACAAGUUAUUGGGCCACAGAGAUUAUAAAAUUUUCUAGAGAAAAAUACAUAGUAAGGGAGACGUGAAGGAUGAGUAGGAAUGAUCUGGAGACAAAGAGGAAAAACUCUUCUAGACAGAGGAUUAGCAUGGGCAAAGCCUAGCAGUAAGAGCAUAGUAUAGCCUUCCAGUAUUUCUUAUGCAAAUAUAAACAGGUAUGUAUGAACUCUUCUUGCUUACUCACAAGGUAGCAAAAUGUGCACAUUCCUCUUACUCUUCAUUUGUUCGGCUAAUAAUAUAUUCUGGAGAUCUACCUGUACAGGUUCAUUAAUUUCCAACUUCCAAAUUCCACUGUGUGGAGACAGCCAAAUCUAACCAGCCCUGAUUGAUCACUUGGAUGAUUUCUGAGUUUUGCUAUUGUAAAAAUGUUGCUCUGAAUAAAAUAAAAAUGUUUGCCCAGCUUGUCAU